rnacentral:rRNA from 1 species
GCAUCGAUGAAGAACGCAGCGAAAUGCGAUACGUAAUGCGAAUUGCAGAAUUCAGUGAAUCAUCGAAUCUUUGAACGCAAGUUGCGCUCUCAUUUGCGUGGGAGCAUGCCUCUUUCAGUAUCUGUUCCACUCUCACUCGCAGUGCGCUGCGGAGAAUGAGGCCCUUGUGUGUUUCGCGAGGAUCACACAGCCUUGAAGUGUCCAGUGGAGCUUGUUCUGUUUUUCUUCGAAAGAAGGAAGGCAGCUCGCACUGAGAAAGCGACGUGGGUAAUCUACCUAUUAACGUCUUGCUUUCGUUUGCAGGUGUCUGAGGUUUUCACUGUAACAGGUGAAAACGAUAAGCGUACGGUGUCGUCCCGCCAGGGUAACAACACCAAACCAACCAAAAAAAUAGAUCUGAAAUGAGGUAAGAGGACCCGCUGAAUUUAAGCAUAUCAAUAAGCGGAGGA